GCGCGAAACCUUCACACUGCGCGUAAGCGCGAUGAGGGGAGACCGAGUGCCUUCUCUUUUUGGGAAGGCUUUUCGCAAGCCUAAAAAGCUUGCGGAAUAAGGGCUGGGCAAGACGGGUGCCAGCCGCCGCGGUAAUACCCGCAGCUCGAGUGGUGGUCGCUAUUAUUGAGCCUAAAACGUCCGUAGUCGGCUUUGUAAAUCCCUGGGUAAAUCGGGUUGCUUAACAAUCCGUUUCCUGGGGAGACUGCA
rnacentral:rRNA from 1 species